rnacentral:tRNA from 1 species
ACUAUUUUGGCAGACAAGUGUAUUAGAUUUAGAAUCUAAAAAUAUAGUGUAAUCUAUAAAUAGUA